GUACAUUUUUUAAUAAGGUUUUCAAGACAAUCCAAUGGGGGAAGAAAUAUUCUUUUCAACAAAUGAUGGUGGAACAAUUGUAUAUCUAUACUGCAAAAGGAAUAGAGAGUGACUGCUAAUGGAUAUAGAUUUAUUAUGGGGGUGAUGAAAAUGUUCUAAAAUGAGAUAGUGGUAUUAGUUGCAUAACUUUGUGAAUAUGCUAAAAUCCACAGAAUUAUAUCCUUUAAAAGGGUGGAUUUUAUGGUAUGUGAAAUAUCCUAUAUAAUAAAAUGCUAAUAUGCAAAUUGUCCCCUCGACCAGGAGUUCAACCAGGGGUUGGGACCAGCAGGCCAACUGCCUGCAGCCCUGAUUGGGCAGGCUGGCCGGACCCCAUGCACAAAUUCAUGUACUGGGCCUCUAGUAUCUCAAUAAAAAUAUUAAAAAAUUGAGUCUUCCAAAACUGAACAUCCUAUGAUUUAUUUAACUUCCACAAUUCUGCAAUUUAUGCCAUUCAAGAAAUUCCUGCAUCUGUGUGCAAUAAUUUAAAAUAAAAAUGGAUGCCGGAAAGAAAGCAAGCAAAAAAAAUAAAAAAAAUAAAAAUGAAGAAGUGGAAAUAACUAAAAGAACCAAUACACGGAUAAAAGGAACUAAGGAGUAGACAUGAGAAAAAAGGGAUUCGCCAGCACACAAUCCCUAGAUGGUUUUUCCCCUACAUAUUCUUAUCAAUGUAUAACUGUGUUCAUUCUUCUUAACACUCAAGUUACUAAAAAUCAAGGUAUGAUAUUUUACUAUAAAAUGCUUGAUAAAGUAAUUGUACUUUAUUUAAAUAAAACUUUAAAUAUUAUUUAAAUAUAAUAUUAAUAGGGAAAAGGGGGUUCCUGUACAAGGAGGCGGACAAGGUUUAUGGGUAGUAUGAACAAGCUCUAAGAAGCUGGAGCGAGUGGGCUGAGAGGGCAGAAAUGCCUCCAACAAUUAAAAAGCCUUUGUAGGCAUAUUUGGAACAAGAAAAAGAAUCAGGAAGCCGUAGGCCCACUGCUUUCCCCGCUUAACUGAGAAGGACUAGGAGCCCCACUAAAACAUGGUGAGCUUGGGACUCUUGCUGUAACAUCAACAGAAAGCAGAACUACUCAGCUAUUAUUUCGCUUCCUCCUUUUCCUCUGAAAAUGAUCCAGAGAUGGUAGAGGGGGCCCAGCCAUAAUUGAGAGGGCGUUCAAACCCUGGGAAUGAGGUGCUUUCAAGGGCCUGCACAGGCAAGGCCCAGUAAGUACUUGAGUGGAUGGAUGGAUGGAUGGGAGGAUGGUAUAGGAAAAACAUGUACUUGUGCUCAAAGGUCUAUGGUUGGUGUUUUUUAAGAAAAUGUGAAGAAUAUGAAAAGUAUCAGAAAAUUGGAAGCAGCCAGAUGUCCCAGUUUUCAAAAAAGGAGAGAAACAGGUUGUGUUCAAGAACAAAGCUCUACGUCAUUCCUUUGAUAAGCUCUAGACUCCAUUAUUAAAGAGAAGAGAGGUGAAGGCACUCACAGGAGGUAGCUUGAUUCACCCUUUUAAAAAGGUCCCAUUAGAGCCCUGGCUGAGUACUCAGUUGAAAAACACUGGAUUAGAACAUGGUCCCAUAUAACACGGUUGCUGAUUCAAUCCCCUGUCAGGGUACAUACAAGAAUCAACCAGUGAAUGCAUAGAUAUGUGGAAGCAAAUCACUGUUUCUCUUUCCCUUCCUCUCUCUCUAAUUAAAAAAAUAAUAAUCCCAUUUGAAAAACACAAGAGCUAAUUUGGUGGUUCUCACCCUCAUCCAGGCACUGGAGCCCCUGAAAAUCAUAGCCAGAUACCAUGCCACCAUGCCCUCUCCAGAUCUCUCUGAGAUAUAGACAUUUUAUUUUUUACAGAAGAAUAAGACUAUACUUACAACAUAUAAGAUCACACCUAUACAACCUACUGUUCAUUCAUUCAAAUAAUAUUGAUUUUGGGAAUGGGCCUGGCUAAUCACAGAGCUUAGCGUUUCAUGGGGAAUAUGGAAAAGAAUCUACAAGCCAUUAGGGCUCAGGAUGUGCCCCUAAAAGCACAGGGUGAGAUGGAGAUUAGAAAAUCCUCCCCGAGGAUACAGCCUAAAAGCCAAGCCUGGGAAUUAGCUGCCCUAAGGAGACCAGGAGGUGAGGGCAAGAAGGUGUCAAAGGUGAGGCCCAGGUUUCUUGGGUAACAGGAGCUAUCCACCGAGAUGGGGACCUAAGAGGAGGAAGAGUGGGGCAUAAUUAGGAGCUUAGAUUUAAACCCAGGUUUAAGUGGGCACAGGUAUAGAGUCCGCGAGGGGUCAGACAUAUGGAUCUGGAGUGAGAGAAAAGAGCUUGUGGAGACACUUGGAAAAAGUCAGUGAAGAGGUGGUCGUAUCAGGGGAAGAUGUGGCUCGGAGCCAUCUUAGGGCUCUAAUGGUUGCAAGUUGACAGGCAUUUAUUACAAAAGGCUUAAGUAAAAAAUAUAUAUAUAUACAGAUUUUCUCAUGAAACUGGUAAGACCAGGUGUACUGGCUCCAGACCUGGCCUAGGGCACAAUCAGCUGAGGACUCCGCUUUGCUGCCUCCCGCAUGCUGACUUCCUUUUCAGUCCGUUUCCCCUCAUGGAGAGGGCAGGUGGCUGUCUCCAAUUCCAGACUCAUAUUCCGUCAGCUCAGAUGAGCAUCUCUUCCCCCACAGUUUAGCAGAAAUCUCAUGUUUGAGUUUCAGUCGUUCAACUUUGGCCAAAUGCCCAUCCCUGAGCCACUCCCUAGGGCCCGGGGGAAUGAAAUAACCCUUGCCUGAGUUGUCAACCCCAAACUAUGUGGACUCGGAGUGGGGUGAGGUGCCUCCUCAGGGUGUUGGAAAUGGAUACUGGACAGGUGAAACAGCAGGGAAAGAGAGGAGAGGGGUGGUCAGCAAAGUCAGCUCGUCCGGGAAAGGAUGAAAAUAGAAGCAGUGGAUUAGCCGGCGUGAAUCAGGGUGACCUUCGCAAGAGCCAUGUCAGUAAGUGGUGGUGAUAGAACCCAGGUGGUGAUGGGUCGAGGAAUGAGUGGGAGGUGAGACAUCAAAUAUAGAAAACUCUCAGCAGUUGGGCACAAAGGGGAGGAACCGUGCCCUGGUCACAGGCAUUCCAGAGCUUUGGUUCAAGAUGAACAGGAGUUCGUGUUGAUGGAAGGAGGCCGUCGAGGGGCAGCAGCUGGUGUUUCAGACGCCCAAGGAGAGUCAUCGGCUCUCCCUGUCUCUCCCUCCCCUCCACUCUCUCUAAA